UGUUCAGGGUUCUGCUGUCCAUGUUUUCUCCUUUCCUUGCCUACAAUGCCCCGAGAUCUUAUUGCACUCACUGACACAGUGCCACCCUUUUAUUGUCAUUGGUUAGCCACUGCAAGGUAUGCACACUGUUAUGCACAAGCUGUAUAUACUGCUCACCACAGGGCCCUGGAGAGGCAGCUAGCUACAUGUCAAUCUUCUGAUGCUUUAUUUGACAGCUACCCUAAGCCUGUGCCAAAGAAGUUAUGGCUGCCAUUCCCAUCACAUUCCUGAGGUCAAACUCUGACCUAUGCAAGCAUAUCCUAAGCCCGGAGGAGAGUGUGCAUGGAGCUUUCUCAACCUGCACUGCUGACCAGACUGCAACUUUUGGUGGCCGUGGACAGAAACUCAGGCAGGAGCCCUCUGCGAUUCUGGGAUUCAGCAACCAAAUUUGUAUGACCCUCUCGUUGUACUCCUUGAUCUCUAGCCUGAGAAAUGAAAGUGUGAAACAAGCUUCAAACAAAGUACUUAAAGAACAAACUUUAUUCAUGAAAAUAAAUGAGAAGAUGAUGAACUUCUAAA